rnacentral:rRNA from 1 species
GACGAACGCUGGCGGCGUGCUUAACACAUGCAAGUCGAACGGUAAGGCCCUUCGGGGUACACGAGUGGCGAACGGGUGAGUAACACGUGGGUGAUCUGCCCUGCACUUCGGGAUAAGCCUGGGAAACUGGGUCUAAUACCGGAUAGGACUCCGGACUGCAUGGUCUGGGGUGGAAAGCUUUUGCGGUGUGGGAUGGGCCCGCGGCCUAUCAGCUUGUUGGUGGGGUGAUGGCCUACCAAGGCGACGACGGGUAGCCGGCCUGGGAGGGUGACCGGCCACACUGGGACUGGGAUACGGCCCAGACUCCUACGGGAGGCAGCAGUGGGGAAUAUUGCACAAUGGGCGCAAGCCUGAUGCAGCGACGCCGCGUGAGGGAUGACGGCCUUCGGGUUGUAAACCUCUUUCAGCAUCGACGAAGCGAAAGUGACGGUAGGUGCAGAAGAAGGACCGGCCAACUACGUGCCAGCAGCCGCGGUAA